AGAACGAACGCUGGCGGCGCGUUUAAGCAUGCAAGUCGAGCGGCAAGGGCCUUCGGGCCCCUAGAGCGGCGGACGGGUGAGUAACACGUGGACAAUCUGCCCCCCGGCCCGGGAUAGCCCAGGGAAACCUGGAUUAAUACCGGAUGAGACGGGACCCGCGAUGGCGGGACCCGGGAAAGGCGCUGCGGCGCCGCCGGGGGAUGAGUCUGCGUCCCAUUAGCUAGACGGCGGGGUAACGGCCCACCGUGGCGACGAUGGGUAGCCGGCCUGAGAGGGUGGACGGCCACAUUGGAACUGAGACACGGUCCAGACUCCUACGGGAGGCAGCAGCUAAGAAUCUUCCGCAAUGGGCGAAAGCCUGACGGAGCGACGCCCGCGUGAACAAAGAAGGCCGUGAGGUUGUAAAGUUCUUUUCGGGAGGGGGAACAACCGUGGCAGGGAAUGGCCGCGGGAUGACGUGAAUCCCGGAAUAAGCCCCGGCUAACUACGUGCCAGCAGCCGC
rnacentral:rRNA from 1 species